rnacentral:rRNA from 1 species
GCUCAACCGGGGAGGGUCAUUGGAAACUGGGAAACUUGAGUGCAGAAGAGGAGAGUGGAAUUCCACGUGUAGCGGUGAAAUGCGUAGAGAUGUGGAGGAACACCAGUGGCGAAGGCGACUCUCUGGUCUGUAACUGACGCUGAGGAGCGAAAGCGUGGGGAGCGAACAGGAUUAGAUACCCUGGUAGUCCACGCCGUAAACGAUGAGUGCUAAGUGUUAGGGGGUUUCCGCCCCUUAGUGCUGCAGCUAACGCAUUAAGCACUCCGCCUGGGGAGUACGGUCGCAAGACUGAAACUCAAAGGAAUUGACGGGGGCCCGCACAAGCGGUGGAGCAUGUGGUUUAAUUCGAAGCAACGCGAAGAACCUUACCAGGUCUUGACAUCCUCUGACAACCCUAGAGAUAGGGCUUUCCCUUCGGGGACAGAGUGACAGGUGGUGCAUGGUUGUCGUCAGCUCGUGUCGUGAGAUGUUGGGUUAAGUCCCGCAACGAGCGCAACCCUUGAUCUUAGUUGCCAGCAUUCAGUUGGGCACUCUAAGGUGACUGCCGGUGACAAACCGGAGGAAGGUGGGGAUGACGUCAAAUCAUCAUGCCCCUUAUGACCUGGGCUACACACGUGCUACAAUGGGGCAGAACAAAG